rnacentral:lncRNA from 1 species
UUUGGAUGAAAGAUCUUAUAUAAUACUGUGUAUCGUUAGUAAAAAAACCUCCAUAGGUCGACUGACUGCCAGGGGUCCCCAUCAUGCCAGCUGCUGCUAGAUUUUAAAGACCAGGACAGGUGCAGCAAUGGAAAGCCAAAGAAAUUGCUUCAUUAAAGUUGAUAAAUACAGUUGAACGUCCGUGACUGGAAUAUGCAAGUUGAAAAAUACCUUGUUUAACUUCUGUGAAACAGCCUCCUGCUCUGUGUUUGAACUGAAAAAUCAUGACUGGCUCAGCUAAUACUUCUCACCUUAGCUGGUAACUUCAGGGCAGCAGGACAGUCUCAAGGGCAUGGUUCCCAGGUAGCCUACUGCAUGCAGUUCGUGGUCACGUUCAUGUCUCGUUUGGUUGUUCUUCCUGAGCAUUUUCUGUAAAGUUGUAGGGACACAUCCUCAGCUGUGACUCAGCGUAACCCCAUUAGAAGCACUUGCAGGUCAGGUCAGACAUCAGCACUGUAUCUUAUCUACUGGCCAGCUUUCCUAGCAGCAAAACUAAUUUGCUCAGAUAAUUCUGUUUCCUGCCAUCUAUUACAAUAAACGAGCGACUGUAGCUUCAUUGACGUCUCUGCUAACUAAUGAGUUGGCCUUGUAAUUCUCAGCUAGUAAACAAUAAGGGGGGGAAAGAAAACCCUUACUCUUCUAAAUACAGGAAAGUUUUAGGUCAACAGCUUGAUGCACUGAGCAAUGCUGCAUCUCCCUACCCUCCCCAUUAAUGGAGCAUUCUUGCCAGAAUCUAAUCAAACUGAGGCAAAAACAAUUAAUGGAUCAAUCACUCCCUUGCAGAUAAAGUUCCCUGGAUAAUGUCAUCUCAUGUGGAGCCGCAUACAUGCAAGUAAACACAUGCAGCCACUGUGGGGGAGCACGAGCUUUCAGAAAAAAGUGGGAGUAAACUGGCAAGGGAUCCAUGGCUACAGCUAUUGAAGAAAAGAUGUUCUUAUGACAGGUUAACUUUAUGGCACUUCACUUUGAACAGGGAAAAGGAAAUGAAGAUAGACUACUAGCAAGCGUGAAACAUCCCUGGAGCAUACCUAUUUCAACAGCAACAACUUGGAGGCCAAAAAAAAGAGAUUUCCAUUCUUCACAAAACCUCAGAGUGUCAGCAUUUUCUUCUGGCUUUUCCUGGAAAACACCACUGUUUUCAGACUAGCUCUGCUGGGAUAGAAGAGUUGUACUGCUCUGGUUAGGUUACCAAGGUGAGCGGACACUUCUGCAGCACUGUCAGGCUCAUUCGGCCAGUCAUUUAGCAGAGCAAUGUUGAAAAAUAAUUGCAUAUUUAUCCUCCCCUCCCCGAGUCUUUAAAUAUGCAGGGAAAAAGUCACAGAAGAACCAAUAAUGUGACAAGAAUAAUGAGGCUGAAGAACAGUAGUACAGUGUGAACUCAUAUAUCUCUUGGUUUCAUUUACAUGUUUAGCAGCUGCUUGUUUUUCCAUCAUAGAAAGAUCAUUAUGUGGCUUGUAAGAAGAGAGGGGAAGUCUGUUCACCUUUGGGCAACUAUCUCUGCAUUUAUUAAUAGUUGUUGCCCAUAUCAUCAUACAUUUAAUUGCUACGUUAUAAUUUAUUUAUUCAUUGAUUUAUUGUAAUAGAUGGGUAGAAACAAAAUUAUCUUUGCAAAUUAUUUGGUAGGUGGGAAAGCUGCAUGGUUAAAGAAAAAAAAACAUAGUGUAGCUUGUGAGAUACUGUCUAGUGAAUAGCAUCUUAAUGUGUGAGCGCUAGCAUACAAACUAGUCUUGUUAGAAAGCAAAGGUGAAUCCAGCCGAUCGCUAUACCAUCUCAAAAGAAAUGACCAUGUACCUUACGUGAAGUUUAUACUUAUGUUCCUGGAUGGCUCAUUUCCUGAAGGAAAGGGCAGAUGGCCAAAGAGGAGUGAUUAAAUGGGAUGGAGAGAGAAGAGGACUCAAAAAUUAGAAAAAUAAAGGUAGGAAGUUUGCAAAGCA